UAGGGAANCUUCCACAAUGGGCGCAAGCCUGAUGGAGCAACACCGCGUGAGUGAAGAAGGGUUUCGGCUCGUAAAGCUCUGUUGUUGGAGAAGAACGUGCGUGAGAGUAACUGUUCACGCAGUGACGGUAUCCAACCAGAAAGUCACGGCUAACUACGUGCC
rnacentral:rRNA from 1 species